UGAUUACUGCAGCAAUAGGUGAGGAAAUACUGUUUCCACUUCGCUUAAUUCCAGGCUUCCUGGAACAUUACCUUGCCUGGUGCUACUCUCUGAUCAUGACAUAAGCAUCCUUUACAUUUUUUUUUCUUUCACAAAUUAAUUCUGAGAGUUGCCUGCAGACAAAGCCAGUAACAUUUGAUCACUAAGGACAACGAUCUGAAACAGUUUGGAAAUGCCUAACUCAAAGUUCAUGCUGAUCUAGUGAAUCCUCUGAGAAAAUAAGUACUCAAUCACACCUCACAAAAGAGAGGAAUAAAGACAGCAUUUCAGAGAACUCAGACGGACUAUGGGAUACCAGCUCACAGCCUCAUCUAGCACAACAGACCUGAAACCCAUGCUAUCUUCAUCCUAUGGGAGUCCUUGAACCCUUUAAUGCAGAUACACUGUCUGGAGUUGCUAUUGUUAUGAAGAACUGCAUUUUUAGAUAAUGCUGUUUCUAUAGCUUGCAAAGAGAUGGAGUCACUAGGAGCUGGAAUAGAAGCCCAAGCAGGAAGCUAGAAUGACAACAUCAUUAUUAUGGUUGUUAUAAAAACCUGUGCCAUCUUACACAAUUGCUCACUUUCCUUCAUGGCUUCCCUACGACAAAUAUCACGAGAAGUUAAUAUUUUUGUGUCCUCACCUCCAUUUCCAAUAGCUGAAGCAUGCUGCUAUAAGAAACUUACCUUUACUCAAUUGUCUGGUAAGAAAAGCACAAGUUUAACAGUGUUAAUCAUUUAGUCAGUAAAUGUUUGAAUGAAGAUUAAUGAUCCUGUAUAUAGCAGAAACAGUAAGUGCAAAUGCUAACACGUUGCGUCAUUUCUUGUUACACUGAUGAUUUAAUAGAACUAUACAAAGUUUCAAAUUAAUUUCUUUUCAGAAUUAUUGUUUAACACUUUCUGCAUUUUCUCCCUCAUCCAGCCAAGCUCAGGUGGUGGUGAGUCCUGCCUGCCACAGGUGACACCAGCUGCCACUCC